UACGAAGGGGGCUAGCGUUGCUCGGAUUGACUGGGCGUAAAGGGCGCGUAGGCGGUUCGUACAGUCAGACGUGAAAUUCCUGGGCUCAACCUGGGGGCUGCGUUUGAUACGUGCGGACUUGAGUGCGGAAGAGGGUCGUGGAAUUCCUGGUGUAGCGGUGAAAUGCGCAGAUAUCAGGAAGAACACCAAUGGCGAAAGCAGCUCUCUGGGACGGUACUGACGCUGAGACGCGAAAGCGUGGGGAGCGAACAGG
rnacentral:rRNA from 1 species